rnacentral:rRNA from 1 species
AUACGUAGGUGGCAAGCGUUGUCCGGAUUUACUGGGUGUAAAGGGCGCGUAGGCGGGCAGGCAAGUCAGAUGUGAAAUCUCCGGGCUCAACCCGGAAAUUGCAUUUGAAACUGCAGGUCUUGAGUAUCGGAGAGGCAAGCGGAAUUCCUAGUGUAGCGGUGAAAUGCGUAGAUAUUAGGAGGAACACCAGUGGCGAAGGCGGCUUGCUGGACGACAACUGACGCAUAGGCGCGAAAGCGUGGAGAGCAAACAGGAUUAGAUACCCUGGUAUUCCACACUGAAAACGAAGAAUUCUAGUUAGAGGGGGUAACGACCCCUUCUUUGCCGCAGUCAACACAAUAAGCAUUCCGCCUGGGGAGUACGGCCGCAAGGUUGAAACUCAAAUGAAUUGACGGGG